AAGCACUGAACGCUGAGUGCACGAGCGGAGCGGAGUGAGAGUCCAGCUCAGAAGUGUUUCACCACCGCCGGCCCAGUGAGCGAACAACUGGGAGAGCGGGGAUCCCUGAACUGGUAGACAUCUGUGACGAUCCUAAAGGGUCACUUUUUGCCACGUCGGGCUCUGAAGUGGACAGGCUGCUCUCCUGCGGCAUCCCGGCGCUGCCCUGAGGAGGGGAUGGAGGAUAGGUCCAGCUCUCCAGCGUCACCGGUGGAAAGCUUCGGGACCAGCGAGGAGGAGCUGGACCGGCAGCACCGGAGAUUGGGGAGGAAAAGGAGACGCAGCCAGAAGCUGAGCGAGGAGGGCAGCGGGAGCCCGGGAUCCGGGUCGGGGUCGGGGUCAGGGAAACGGGGCAGGAGGGCAAGUCCCAGCAGGGCACAUUCGUACGAAGAGCUCCAGAACCAGCGCAUCCUGGCCAACGUGCGCGAGAGGCAGAGGACGCAGUCGCUCAACGAAGCCUUCGCCUCGCUGCGCAAGAUCAUCCCCACGCUGCCCUCGGACAAGCUCAGCAAGAUCCAGACCCUGAAGCUGGCCUCCAGGUACAUCGACUUCCUGUGCCAGGUUCUGCAGAGCGACGAGAUGGACGGCAAAAUGUCGAGCUGCAGCUACAUGGCGCACGAGAGGCUCAGCUAUGCCUUCUCCGUGUGGAGGAUGGAGGGCGCCUGGUCCAUGUCUGCAUCACACUAGCGAAGCCUGGUGGGUAGGUGUGCGAGGGCCGUCAGACCUGUUUCUCCACCGCACCUAUCUCAUCACCACGUCCGCUUUACCAGCGCUGAGAGCCAUGCAGGCGAAAUACCACGUUCCUGAAACGCGGCGCUCCCUCCCUUCCUCCUGCAGACCGCGGCCGCGUUGCUCCAGCGGGGCCCCGCGGACCGAGAGAAGACCCUGCGGACCUCAGAGACAGCGGACACGCCGACGCCGAGAGCGUUUCUGCGGACCCAACGGAGCUCCGAGCGCCGUGCGAUGACCUCGUCCACCCGUCCCGCACCUCCGCACGCGUCUCUCAGCGGUCCUUCAGGGAGCCACCUCCACGUCCCCUGCUCGUCCACGGUUUUCCACAGUUUCAGUGUAAUAUAAAAUAUUGUACAGACGUUCAAGUAUCUCUUGCUUUUUAAGGGCACCGGUAUAAUUUAGGAUGCGCUGCGUCAAAAAUGUCUCCACACGUUUUCAGCAGUGCUUUUCCUGCUGCAAGCAUUGUAAAAAAAACAACUUAUUUAUUAAAACGCAUAUUUUUUGAAAAACCUACAAGUGCAGGACUCAUUAAAAUUUGAGAACAUUUUUCGAAACAGCCUUUGACUAUUCAUAGAAGCUGGAGGCUGGAGAGCGAUCCCUCCUUCGGCCCACUGAUAUUUCUUCUGAUGGCCUUCACUUUUGAACAAAGAGACCCCACGCUGACAAACCCCGAAAAACUUCUGGUUCGGUGCCAAAUUCCCUUUCAUCACGUUAUGUCAAGUCACAGAGAAAAAUCGAAACGCCUGAAGAGGUGCGAUUAAUGCUACCUAGAGAGUCUUAAAAAGCGCGGACAGCGAUGCGAAGGCGGCGUUUUGCUGACGGCCCUUGGGCUCCGAGGGAGCGUUUGCAAGCGGAACGAAGGCGGCGGAGAAAGAGUGCGGUAAAAUCGCAGAGGUUCAUUAGCAGAAGAGAACGGCGAGCCUGUUGGAGAUUUCCACAUUUGUUGCAAUAAGAGCUAAUGAGCCAAAGCGGGGCGCCUCGGGGAAGCGACUCCAAAGGGCACGCAUAACGACUGUAACGACCCGAGCGGCUCUGGAAUCCCCCGCUCCGGCGGGAGCCGUAAUCCCGCAUUUCGUUUCGGAGCCUGUAGGUAACAUCCAGAGCAUAAAACUGCUUACGAGAAAAUCUCCCACCGUUGUGCAGUUAAACGUGUGUACAAAUGCGUCCGAAAGAGGAAAAGACUCGACUAUAAGAGGCCUGCGGAGCAAACGGCUCUCUGACCGCACACCCAUUAGCAGCAUCGUUCCGCACAUCAUCUCAUCCAAGCGAGACCAGGGAGCGUUAGGUAGCUGGGACCGUUUAGUCAAAGCGUAUGUUAGUUCUCUUUGAAAUUACUCUGAUUUUGUACAUAUAUAUGUUACAUUUUCAAAGAAAUACAGAAAGCUGUUGGUACAUAUUGGAAAGCAUUUUUUUCUCCUGCAGAAGCAACGAUAUUAAAUAUAAAGUAGUGGUGAAAAAUGGUCAUAAAUGUGAGACGUGAAACAAGUUGAAGCAACUGAAUGAAAGAAACACGAGCGCUGGAGUAACGCACCGUAAACACGUGUAAAUAAACCUUCUCCGCUGAGCAGACUCCUCGGCGUGUGUGUGUGUGUGUGUGUGUGUGUGUGUGUGUGUGUGUGUGUGAGAAACACUUGCUGUACGAAGCUGUGCGCAGCCGAGAUUCCCUGUGAUGGAUGAGGAUGAAGGACAGCAGGAUGAAGAGCACCGAUGGGAACCCAGAGACGUUAACCUGUCUGCUCCAGGUGACUUUAGAUGAUCCAAAGAGCCCUUCUGACCCAGCUAACCAAGUGCACUCUUUAAC